rnacentral:rRNA from 1 species
UGGGGAAUAUUGCACAAUGGGCGAAAGCCUGAUGCAGCGACGCCGCGUGAGCGAAGAAGUAUUUCGGUAUGUAAAGCUCUAUCAGCAGGGAAGAAAAUGACGGUACCUGACUAAGAAGCACCGGCUAAAUACGUGCC